GGCUCAGGAUGAACGCUGGCGGCGUGCCUAAUACAUGCAAGUCGAGCGAAUGGAUUGAGAGCUUGCUCUCAAGAAGUUAGCGGCGGACGGGUGAGUAACACGUGGGUAACCUGCCCAUAAGACUGGGAUAACUCCGGGAAACCGGGGCUAAUACCGGAUAACAUUUUGAACUGCAUGGUUCGAAAUUGAAAGGCGGCUUCGGCUGUCACUUAUGGAUGGACCCGCGUCGCAUUAGCUAGUUGGUGAGGUAACGGCUCACCAAGGCAACGAUGCGUAGCCGACCUGAGAGGGUGAUCGGCCACACUGGGACUGAGACACGGCCCAGACUCCUACGGGAGGCAGCAGUAGGGAAUCUUCCGCAAUGGACGAAAGUCUGACGGAGCAACGCCGCGUGAGUGAUGAAGGCUUUCGGGUCGUAAAACUCUGUUGUUAGGGAAGAACAAGUGCUAGUUGAAUAAGCUGGCACCUGA
rnacentral:rRNA from 1 species